CCUACGGGAGGCAGCAGUGGGGAAUAUUGGGCAAUGGAGGAAACUCUGACCCAGCGACGCCGCGUGCGGGAUGAAGGCCUUCGGGUUGUAAACCGCUUUCAGUAGGGAAGAAGCGAAAGUGACGGUACCUACAAAAGAAGCACCGGCUAACUAUGUGCCAGCAGCCGCGGUAAUACAUAGGGUGCAAGCGUUGUCCGGAAUUAUUGGGCGUAAAGAGCUCGUAGGUCGUUUGUUACGCCGGAUGUGAAAACCUGAGGCUCAACCUCAGGCCUGCAUUCGAUACGGGCAAACUAGAGUUUGGUAGGGGAGACUGGAAUUCCUGGUGUAGCGGUGGAAUGCGCAGAUAUCAGGAGGAACACCAAUGGCGAAGGCAGGUCUCUGGGCCAAUACUGACACUGAGGAGCGAAAGUCUGGGGAGCGAACAGGAUUAGAUACCCUGGUAGUCCAGACCGUAAACGGUGGGCACUAGUUGUGGGAACCUUCCACGGUUUCUGCGACGCAGCUAACGCAUUAAGUGCCCCGCCUGGGGAGUACGAUCGCAAGAUUAAAACUCAAAUGAAUUGACGG
rnacentral:rRNA from 1 species